rnacentral:rRNA from 1 species
GAAUAUUGGUCUAUGGACGCAAGUCUGAACCAGCCAUGCCGCGUGGAGGAUGAAGGCCUUCUGGGUUGUAAACUUCUUUUAUUGGGGAAGAAAAGUACGGUUUCUACUGUAUCCGACGGUACCCAAGGAAUAAGCACCGGCUAACUCCGUGCCAGCAGCCGCGGUAAUACGGAGGGUGCAAGCGUUAUCCGGAUUUACUGGGUUUAAAGGGUGUGUAGGCGGGCAGGUAAGUCAGAGGUGAAAUCUCCGAGCUUAACUCGGAAACUGCCUUUGAUACUAUUUGUCUUGAAUGUCGUUGAGGUGGGCGGAAUAUAUCAUGUAGCGGUGAAAUGCAUAGAUAUGAUAUAGAACACCAAUUGCGAAGGCAGCUCACUAAGCGAAUAUUGACGCUGAGGCACGAAAGCGUGGGGAUCAAACAGG